rnacentral:rRNA from 1 species
UACGUAGGGUGCAAGCGUUAAUCGGAUUCAUUGGGCGUAAAGGGUGCGUAGGUGGCGUGGUAAGUCGGGUGUGAAAUUUCGGAGCUUAACUCCGAAACUGCAUUCGAUACUGCCGUGCUUGAGGACUGGAGAGGAGACUGGAAUUUACGGUGUAGCAGUGAAAUGCGUAGAGAUCGUAAGGAAGACCAGUGGCGAAGGCGGGUCUCUGGACAGUUCCUGACACUGAGGCACGAAGGCCAGGGGAGCAAACGGG